GAAAAUCACCCAAGAAUUGGCAAAACUCGUUGACCCAUUUCUCAGAAUGGUAUGAUUCACCAAAACCAACACGAGCAGAAACAGAAAUUGUUCAGGAACAGAGCCUGGAGAAGCAGAGGAAGGGUCUGAAAGUUACCUGGGAGGACCCAAGGGUCGAACUUGUAGAGAUCGAUCUCGGCAAUGAAGGGAACGGAGAUGGCGUGCGAAGCGCACUUGCGAAUCAGGUAAUCGUUCACCAACUCGUCGUCCGUGGGGUGGAACCUGAACCCCGCUGGUAACUCCAACUGCGCCCUCUUCAUCUUCUCUCUCUCUCUCUCUCUCUCUCUUCUCAACUCUGUCGACUCUGCGUUCUGCUACGACUCUGCGGUCCCUGCUUUUCGCUUCCAAGCUUUGAACUCCUUCAACUUUCGAACUCGAAUCCACACAGAAACACGAGAAGACCAGGGAUUUAUAUAUGGAAAUUCAGACACGUGGGACGGAGGGAUCCCGCACAGCGACCGGUCGACUGGUCAAUCACAGGCCGACACUUGUGGGAGAACUCCGGUUAUGUCAUGGCAUCCGUCAGCUAAUCUGUCUGGACUCGGCGAAUGGGUUGAGGGGAGGGGCAGUUAAGGUAAUUUAAAUGGUCCCUUGCGACUCCUUGAAAGUUGCUCUCCCUGCCCUUUUGGCCCUUGUGGAGUCAAAAACCUUGUCCUUUUGGCAAUAGAUAUCGUGCCAUGUUACCCCCUACAAUAAAAUCCUAGACAGAUAUGUCAUCCAAUAUUAAGACCUUAGUCUUGAAUUUUCGGGAUUCUGUGUUUUAGUUUACAAACCACAUCAAUAUACACUUUAAGACUCUUGAGAUAUAAAAAAAAUUUCAUUCAUGACUUCAUAAAAUAACAAGUAGAGAGCAUGUCAAGGAAAUUUACGCAUUUUACCGACAUCUUAUAUUCUCAAGUUUGAAUUAAAAUCACAUUUAUUUUCAUCAAUCGAUUAAAGUGUUAUGUGAAAAUCUAAACGAAACAUAUAUGAGGUAACAUUUUAAUUUUGUUUUUUGGCCAAUCAAUCUUGUUUUCACUGGGUCUUGCCAAAUUGGCGAUAUGGGCAUAGGGUAAAGAUCAUCAGAGCAUAUGCGGCUAUACGACCUACCCCAAUAGAUAGCAGAGAAGUCAAAGGAGGUGGAUAUUCUAGUUUUUUUCCUGCGAAUUAACUGGGGAUACUUUUGAUAACUUUCGGCGGCUUUACUACGAAGGUCAAGCAACGUGAAAGGUGGUGAGAUUUUGACCAUAUUUGACUACGGUUGCACAUUAAAAUAUCUAAUAUAUAAAGUAUUUUUGGGGCUAUGGCAGUAUCAUAUCACUCGUGCUAUUAAGCAACAUAAAUGGCAUGAUUACCUCUCACCCAGACAGUGGAUCUUCAGUGAAAUAAACCAGUCAUAUAUCAAAAGUCAACAAGUUACAAAAGCCAAAUACAUUUAAAAAUUCAAAACACUUUGAUGCAGUUGAAGCCAAUGGGAAAAUCCACAAUAGAGAUCUAUCGAUUGGGGAUUAAAAUUUCACCAGAAGAAAAAGCUGUUGUCCUGAAAGAUUUUUGUCGGGAGCUAUAUUUAUAUAGUGGUAAUUGAUAACACCACAUCCCUUUUCAUGAUAUUAGUAACAUAAUAAAAGAUGCACGAGUUCGAGGUGUUAAAAGUAUAUACGAGUUAUCAAUUCCUUAGUUAGUUGCAAUUUUAGGUCAUAAUGAUUCCUAGAGAAGGAACUAAAAUAAAUAAUUAAGGGUGUGUUUGUUUUUUGAAAAUGAAUAAUUUAAAAAAUAUUUUCCUAUAAAUAAUCGCUUAUAUUGCUUAAAAUAAUUAGUUAAAGAAAAAUAUUUUUAAGUGUUUAAACAUUUUCAUGAACAGUGCAAAUUUUUUGUUUAUUUAUUUUUAUAAAUAAUACAAAUAAUCAUUUUUAGAAAAAUAUGUUUGAAAUAAUUCAAUUUAUACAAAACAAACGAAGCUUAGGAAGAUCUCAAUUUCAUCGAAAUGAUUAUUGGGUCUUCUAGGUUUAACGCAUAUGCAACUGGGCCUAGUCAAAGGGACACCUAACGAGAUUUAGAAGACAGAGGGGUUGUUUGCUUCGGGUUUACUAAUAAUUAAGUAUGUUUGGCCAAAAAAAAAAAUUAUAAUAAGGCAUGAUCCAAGGCGGCUUUUAUAUAAUCAAGCAACAUAUCGUUUUAUCAAGUCAAUCAAUACUAAAGGUAUCCAAUGAAAGGGAGUAGAUAAAUAAAGAAAUACGGAAAAUAGUGAAGUAGGAGCUUCUGCUCCGACCAGGUAUUUGUCGAUGCUAGAAAAAGAGGAAGGAAGUCAUUGUCUAGUUAGGACGGGUUGAUGUGAGUGACGUGUUCCAUGAGCUAAUUGUACUUAGAUUGUGCCCCUAGUUUUUGCAUUAUAUUGUGCAAUGAAUUGAACUCCAUUUAUUUUGUAAAUAAUGAAUGAUUCAAAAAAUAUUUUCCUAAAAGUAUUUGUUUAUAUUACUUAAUGUAAUUAGUCAAUGAAAAACUUUUUUUUUUAUCGACAAUAACUAUGUCUAAUAUAUUUGGUUCAUUCAUUGCACAAACAAACAUUUUUAGUAAAAUAUUUAUGGAAUCAUUUAUUUUUUUCUGAGCCAACACACCCAUUUGGUACAAAUCUUUCCCUUGGCCAUAUGUAAUUAUCACAUUGUUGGAAUAAAGAGGUUCUUUAGUUGAGCACAUUCAUAUUUAAAAAAAGAUUCGACAUAUUAGUGGCAUUGUGUUUGUCCAGACACCAAAAAACUUUGUUCAACUUACAAAAAGAGAAUGAGGACAAGUAGAUAUUAAUUACUACUCCAAAACAUUAAGGUUUAUCAUAAAUAAGACGUGAACCUCUUGGGAUUAAUUAUUCUAAAAAAAACGUCAUAUUUAACCCAAUAUAUAUAUAUAUAUAUAUAUAUAUAUAUAUAUUUGUAAUAUGAAUAAACGUUUAGAGCUUUUGAGCACCCGAAUAAUUCUCAUUGAGCAUAAUAAUUCUUCUUCCCCCACACAUUGAGUAAUUAUGGAGACAAACGAAUCUGUGCUCCAUAAGGUGGCUCUAAGAGAAUGCAUAUAAUAUAGUGAUUUGAAUCAGAGGUUGAACGAGAAAGACCGGCACACUUACCACCUAAGCAAAAACUAUGCAUCAAUCAAACCCUUGAAGUCAUGCAUUGUCGAUUGUGGGUAUGGCUCAUGAAUCAAAGAUCGCAUGUUUAAACCGCACCACUUGCAUGCAAAUUCUUUUGAGUUGGGUCUCCCACAUAGGUCAAAAGCCCAAACUUGCUGGUUCAUAGAACUUGCAACUGUUUUAUGGGUUUCUAAGAGUGCACAUGGUAAUGUUUUUGUUUCCGAAAACAAUUUCUACUCAAAAACAAUUUUUUUUUUUUAAAUUUCUAUUCCCUAGACAAGUUUCUGAGCAUUUGAAAACAUUUGGUAACUGCAUAAAUUUCUAUUUAAGGAACAUAUAUGCGUUUGGUACAAUCUUAAAUUUUUUUGUGACUUAGGAUUUCUUUUAAUUUGUUAAUAAUUUUAUUACAAAUUUCUCUUUCCUUUUUUUAUUUUUCUUAUUCUUCCUCUACUUGAUCGCCAGCUUGGGUGGAGCCUUGUCAGCCACCAAUGAGGUCCCCUCGAGCCUUGUCGUGACUUGGUGAUGCUCAACCUUGCCCAGCCAUCACGAGAUCGAUGUCGCCUGGCUGGGCAAGUUCCAAACUCACCCAGCCACAAUGAGACUUCAUUGAGGCUAGCAACCGAUUAGGGGAAGAAGAGGAGGAAGAGAAAAGGAAAGAAAAGAGAAAAUGCUCAUUUCUUGAGUUGUUCCCAAGAACAAAAAAAAAAAAAAAAUUGUUUCUUGUUUCUAUUUCAUAUCUAUUAUUAAGAAUAAAAGCCUACACAAACAUAUUUCUAUUCUAGAGAAUAAAAGAAAAAGAAAAAGAGAGAGAAACAAAAACAUUACCAAACACGUCCUAUGUAGUCGAGCUUUCAUACUCAUGCCUUUGGAGGGUGCAUCAAAUUAUAUGUCAAGUCGCUAGCAGACAACCAUGUUAUGAUGUCACGAAGAAACUAGUGGGAUUCUUGUUGAUUUUAAAGGAAAAGUUAUGAAGAGAAAGGAACGAGGGGCAUGUGUGUUUAGGAUUAGGUGGAAGAAAAACAUGUAACCUCUCGUUUUCCCGCCAAAAUAAAAGAAAUUAUUAUUUAAUUUUCUAAAAAUUAUGAAAAAUUAAAUGUAUGUGAAUUUACUCGUCGACAUUCACAUUAGAUUUUUUUUUUUUCAAUGAACGAAAAUAUGUAGAUUGUGAAAUUUUUGAUAAUAAAAAAGUGGAAAAGCAAAAGAUGAUAAACGCGCGUGGCUCGGUACAUAUAUGAUGUGAGCCCAAGAUUUGUCUAUUUUGGCUGACAACCAGGAGCAGCCGGUCUCCCGUCAGGCCUGGUCAAAACAUAAAAUGGCAAAAAGUCUUUGCUUGGGCCUCACGUCGUCGACAGCAAUGAAACCUUAAUUAGAUAAAAAGUAUCAGCUUUUCUUUUUUUCUUUUUUAUUUUUCCCCUUAAACUGAAAAAAGAUAAAGAUAAAACAUGGAAGCUUCGGGUUCUCCUAGGAAAGGAACGAAGUCCUUUGUCUUGUCCAGGUGACGUCUUGCAUGACGUCGUGGAUCCAGAAGCCUCGUCGAUGUUACCUGCCGCCCGCCUCCGACGAGACAGGAACCUUGAAAUUCGCCGUCGAUUCACUGUUCGAUCUUCUUUUCCAUGGGGCGUUUUUUACGCUCUUGCAUGGAUUAUUACUAGUCGUGGGCCCACCCUAAAUCUUUGUGGGGCCCUCUUGUCCUCCCUUACUUCUUUUUUUUAAGGAUCAAUACAUCGAAUCGAAAUUCAUGUGUUAUUUGUGUAAUCAUCCUUAAAACUAAUAGGAUCUUCCAAGUAGCUAUGCUGAAUUUAACCUAUCUAUUAAUAGAUUUUAGAAAUUUAUUAUAGCUUACGAUUAGAUAUGCUUUUCAGGUGUUCUCAAGUCUUUUAAUCAAUGUGAUUGAAUUGAUCAAGUCUUAUUAUUCUUGGUCGCUAAAAGCGUGCACGAAAAAAUUUCUGGAACAGAAAUCAAUUUUUAGUCAUAAAUUAAUUUCUCAAUUUCUAUUUUUUAGAUGAAUUUAUGAACAAAGAAACACGUAUAAUAACAACUCAAGUUUUCUAUUUUUGGAAAAAUGCUAGUGGUGAGCGGUCAAUGUCCAAUGUGCAACGGUUAGCAACCAGCAGUGAGUGGGCGGUGUCCAGCAGCCAACAUCUAGUAUCCGUCAUAUCACAGGCGGGGGGUGAGAGGCGGGCAAUGACGAGAGUAAAUGAUGAAAAGAGUUUUUAUUUCUCACUUUUUAUUUUUGAUUUCUACGUCAAAUCUAUUUUUGUAAUAUAAAUCUUUUCAAAAAAAAUGAAAUUACAUUACCAAAUAGAUUUUUAUUCCAAACCUAUUUCGGAGAACAAAAAAAACAAAAAAAAAUAGAGAAAUAAAAAUUUUGUGAUGCGAGCUCUAAGUGUCCUUUUCAAUGAUGCGACAGGAUUGAUAAAAUGUGAGAAAUACUUGCUAAAACAAUCGUGCUACGCCGCGUUAGUAUAGUCUUGAAAAAUAAAUAAAUCGGGGAUGGAGAUGGUGGUAGCCGAUGUAAUAUGUAGGGGAACAAAUUGAGACGAGUUAUACCCCUCGAGCAAAAAACAGGGAGCCCUUAUCCUUAGCUUUUUAACACAACGAUUAUCCAAAUUAAAGAUGGCCCCUUUCUAUUAAUGACCUUUCCUUGUCCAAUACAUGAAUCCAUGCACGGUGAAAUUAUCACUUGUUCAUGUCGGUCGCCGUUGUCGCCUUUGUGUCGGAUGAUGAAAGUGUAGUGUGGCCUGGGUGAAAUGAACCACGUGCUUUAUUGAUUUAUUUUCGUUUUUCAUAAUGUUCAUUCCUGAACCUCUCGACGUAUAGACAUGAACCUGCCCCACAAAAAGUCUAAACAGGGGGGGGCAAAAUAUAAUCAACUUGGGUCUAGAAGCAUCCGAUUCUUUACAUCAUUUGACCUGAAAAUGUAGCUGUUUUCUCCCACUUAUUUUGGGCAAAUGCCACCGCGACUACACAAGUAAUUUCAAACAGGUGUUUCUAAGGAUCUGUGAAACAUAAAUUGGCCCCCUUUGAACAACUCCAUUCACUUGAAUUUUCCACAGCAAUGAAUAUUAAAACAAUCUUCCUUCAAUAAAAUAUUGAAACAAUUUUGCUACAAUGUUACAGCAAACAAUUUCACUAAAGACUUUCAUCAGGUAUUUACAAGUUCCAAACCCAUCAAGAUCGCGGCACUUCUGCCGUGUCAUCUCUUGGCCAAUUUGGAGCCGGACAGAUUACUUGCACCGUGUUAUUGGAUGCACCUCAACGCUUUGCUCCUCUCUCUGGCAAAACCCAGCAAAGCAAAAUCCCUGGACUCUAGUCUAUAGCCCCACAUGAGCAAUUAGUGCAAGACAGAGAUGGUCUUGAUUAAUCACCGCGCCAGUGGAUCAUGCAAUUUCAAUGUGUAGCAACCCGAAUGGACUCAAUCAGAAUGACUGCUGCAAGUACAUGGACAUGUCCUCGAGAGGCGAGAACUGAUCCAACUGAAACUGUCCUUGCACGAGAGCGUCGUCCAAGAAGUCAUCCAUUGAGCCGAACUGGAAAUCGAGGGCCUUCUCCCAAUCGUCCCACUUUACCUCGCUCUGCACUUCCUUCUCGCAAGCUGAGCCUGGGGACGCCGCGUGCUCCGAGCAGCUAGAAUCCUUGUGCAGCUUGGGUAAAAACUCUGACGAGUCCGUGUACAUGUGAUCUGUAGUCAUCGGCGAAUCCGCAUAUUGUGGAGAUGUGUACGGGUUCAGCGCCGCCGGCAUAACAAUCUGUGGCUUGAUCUCCACUUCGGGGAAAUCUGCCGUUUCAUUGAGCGUGGAGGGUGAAUGCUUUUCUAUGGUGCCCUUCUUGUUGUGUAUCCGGCAAAGAACCCAGUCAUCAAGCUGCAAUAUUAGCAAGCAUCGACGUUAAUCAUCGAGGUUCCCCUAUGAACUCGUCCAAUUACAUGGGCGGAACACCGAAAACGGUGAGAAGAAGGGAAAGACAGUAAAUUACCCUUGAGUUCUUCUUCUUGCCAGCGGAUCGAUCGAUGUUGGCGAGGCGGUACUCGUGCAUGAUCCAAUUGGUCUUCACUCCUCUCGGAGCUUUCCCCGCGUAAAACACAAGGGCCUUUUUUAUGCCGAGCGUCUUUGGGCGGCCGAUGGGCUUAUCAGCUCCGGUUGCCUUCCAAUACCCGGUUCCGGCUGCCCGGUUCGGCCGUGAUCCGUUGGGGUACUUGCGGUCCCUCGGAGAAAAGAAGUACCAUUCUUUUUCGCCGUACAGAGCCAUUUCUGCGAUUCAAAGCCAAAAUCCAUCAGAAAUCAUAACCCUCAGCAGACAAUCAAAUGGUUUCGAAUUCACGAGAGAUCUUGAAGGCUAGUCAACCAGAGUCAAAAUCAUCAUGCUUAAUCCUUGACAACGAGAAAUCAAAUUAAGAAAUCACCCCUCUUCUUAACCCACAUGUCAAAAUGAAAAGUUCAAACUGUCGAGAAAUGCAUUUCUUACUACAGUGACAAAUCCAAAUAAAGAACGGAUUUUUUCACAAGAAAAUCACCCAAGAAUUGGCAAAACUCGUCGACCCAUUUCCCAGAAUGGGAUGAUUCACCAAAACCAACACAAGCAGAAACAGAAAUUGUUCAGGAACAGAGCCUGGAGAAGCAGAGGAAGGGUCUGAAAGUUACCUGGGAGGACCCAAGGGUCGAACUUGUAGAGAUCGAUCUCGGCAAUGAAGGGAACGGAGAUGGCGUGCGAAGCGCACUUGCGAAUCAGGUAAUCGUUCACCAACUCGUCGUCCGUGGGGUGGAACCUGAACCCCGCUGGUAACUCCAACUGCGCCCUCUUCAUCUUCUCUCUCUCUCUC
rnacentral:lncRNA from 1 species